UCCGUAGGUGAACCUGCGGAGGGAUCAUUAAAGAGUUAAAACAACUCCCAAACCCUGUGAACGUACCUCUUGUUGCCUCGGCAGGGCGCGAGGGCCCGGCGCGAGCCGAGCACUCGCGCGUCACCUGCCGGCGGCUCACGAAAACUAUGUUUAUUAUUGACUUCUGAACAAACAACUUAAUAAGUUAAAACUUUCAACAACGGAUCUCUUGGUUCUGGCAUCGAUGAAGAACAGCGAAAUGCGAUAAGUAAUGUGAAUUGCAGAAUUCAGUGAAUCAUCGAAUCUUUGAACGCACAUUGCGCCCACUAGUAUUCUGGUGGGCAUGCCUGUUCGAGCGUCAUUUCAACCCUUAAGCCCUCGUUGCUUAGUGUUGGGAGACUACGGCAUCGUAGCUCCCCAAAGUCAGUGGCGGAGCCGGUUUCACGCUCUAGACGUAGUAGAUUUAUCUCGUCUGCAGCUGGGCCGGUCCCCUGCCGUAAAACACACCAAUUUUUAAAGGUUGACCUCGGAUCAGGUAGGAAUACCCGCUGAACUUAAGCAUAUCAAUAAGCGGAGGA
rnacentral:rRNA from 1 species